UACAGAGACUGCAAGCGUUAUUCGGAUUCAUUGGGCGUAAAGGGUGCGUAGGCGGCGCGGUAAGUCGGGUGUGAAAUCUCGGGGCUUAACUCCGAAACUGCAUUCGAUACUGCCGUGCUUGAGGACUGGAGAGGAGACUGGAAUUUACGGUGUAGCGGUGAAAUGCGUAGAUAUCGUAAGGAAGACCAGUGGCGAAGGCGGGUCUCUGGGCAACAACUGACGUGAGGAGCGAAAGCGUGGGGAGCGAACAGG
rnacentral:rRNA from 1 species